AAAUUGAAGAGUUUGAUCAUGGCUCAGAUUGAACGCUGGCGGCAGGCCUAACACAUGCAAGUCGAACGGUAGCACAGAGAGCUUGCUCUCGGGUGACGAGUGGCGGACGGGUGAGUAAUGUCUGGGAAACUACCUGAUGGAGGGGGAUAACUACUGGAAACGGUGGCUAAUACCGCAUAACGUCGCAAGACCAAAGAGGGGGACCUUCGGGCCUCUUGCCAUCAGAUGUGCCCAGAU
rnacentral:rRNA from 1 species